rnacentral:rRNA from 1 species
CAGCCGCCGCGGUAAUACGUAGGGUGCGAGCGUUAAUCGGAAUUACUGGGCGUAAAGCGUGCGCAGGCGGUUCGUUAAGACAGAUGUGAAAUCCCCGGGCUUAACCUGGGAACUGCAUUUGUGACUGGCGAGCUAGAGUAUGGCAGAGGGGGGUAGAAUUCCACGCGUAGCAGUGAAAUGCGUAGAGAUGUGGAGGAAUACCGAUGGCGAAGGCAGCCCCCUGGGCCAAUACUGACGCUCAUGCACGGAAGCGUGGGGAGCAAACAGGAUUAGAUACCCGCGUAGUCCCUGUCUCUUAUAA